UACGUAUGGGGCAAGCGUUAUCCGGAUUCAUUGGGCGUAAAGCGCGUCUAGGCGGCUUGGUAAGUCAGAUGUGAAACCUGGGGGCUCAACCCGCAGCCUGCAUCUGAAACUGCCAGGCUUGAGUCUGGUAGAGGAAAGUGGAAUUCCCAGUGUAGCGGUGAAAUGCGCAGAUAUUGGGAGGAACACCAGUGGCGAAGGCGGCUUUCUGGGCCACGACUGACGCUGAAGCGCGAAAGCUAGGGGAG
rnacentral:rRNA from 1 species